CUCAGUUCGGAUUGUAGGCUGCAACUCGCCUACAUGAAGUCGGAAUCGCUGUAAUCGCGGAUCAGCAUGCCGCGGUGAAUACGUUCCCGGGCCUUGUACACACCGCCCGUCACACCAUGAGAGUUUGUAACACCCAAAGCCGGUGGGGUAACCUUUUGGAGCCAGCCGUCUAAGGUGGGACAGAUGAUUAGGGUGAAGUCGUAACAAGGUAGC
rnacentral:rRNA from 1 species